CCAUGGAAUCCAAGAAGAUGCCCUGGAUAUCCUCAAGCUGAAGUUACAGGCAGUUGUGACCUACCUGAGAUAGGUGUUGAAUGAACCCAGGUCCUCUACAGGAGCAGCAACCUGAUCUCAACCACUGAGCCAUCUCUCCAACCCCUCUCAUGGGCUUUUUAUAAGUACAGAAUUUCCAAGAGCAUAUAGAUUUCAACCAGCUUAAAGCCACGCAGCUCCUGUGGAUCUUUCUUUCUAUAUAAGCAUUGUAUUGGGCCCUAUCCAUGUUCCCCAAGAGGACACAUUCCCCAGGGCUGAGCUUGGUUUUUCUUGGCCGUUACCAUGUCCUGAUCAUGUUGUCUGGCUCAUAGCAGAUGAAACUGGGACACAAAGAAGGCCUGUGGGUGCAUAUGGAUGGGAGAGUCUAGACCACCCUCGCGAAGAAGGGCAGGGUAAGACCUCUUGAAGUUCAAGAUGUAAACUCUCAACUUCCCAGCUCCAGCUGCCAUGCCUCUGCUCUGCCAUCAUGGACACUUAUGUCUCUGGAACUCUAAGCCCAAAUAAAC